UACGUAGGGUGCGAGCGUUAAUCGGAAUUACUGGGCGUAAAGCGUGCGCAGGCGGUUGGGCAAGUCUGAUGUGAAAGCCCCGGGCUUAACCUGGGAACGGCAUUGGAGACUGCUCGGCUAGAGUGCGUCAGAGGGGGGGUAGAAUUCCACGUGUAGCAGUGAAAUGCGUAGAGAUGUGGAGGAAUACCGAUGGCGAAGGCAGCCCCCUGGGGAUGACA
rnacentral:rRNA from 1 species